AAAAGGGCUACUCUUGCUGAUACAACAGAUUCAACAGAACUUAUACAAAAAAAGGGCUUCUCUUUCUUGUUUUAUCUUCUAUCUAUCAUAAGAACUGAUACAACAGAUUCAUUUAAAUUGUUGCUCACAAAAAAAGGGCUACUCUUGCUUUACUUAGUGUUACGAAAAGUACUACAAAGAUUACUAUAAGAUUUGUGAACUCAAGGCCGUACAUAAGUUGUACUGAUCCACAUGGGAAGAUUUGCUAUGUACAGCUUAUGGAAUCAUACAAGAUACAAUUUUUUUCAUCUUUUUUAAGCCAUAACUACACAUCAGCAAGUCUAGCAGUGCCACCUCUCGACAUAUUCUCCUUUGCGCUAGUUACCAGUCUUGUUCCUUGGCGAAGCCUCAAUUCCUAUAAGAUCAAAAGGGCAGGCAUGAGAGAAAGAUAAAUGGAACACUACUUGUGCAGUCUGAUACUUUUUUGGCAUCCUGUAGUGGUUAUAGUCCUUUAGUUACAACAUUUCGAUAAAAAAAUCGUGUGUUUUGCUACAGAUUACAUUACUUGAGAAUUUUUGUCUGUUUUCAACUUUAGGUCACGGAGAACCAGUAAGUUCUACUACUGGUGUAGAACCAUUUCAAGUAGGGAGUUAUGUUCUUGCGCCUACAUAUUACAAUAUUGAUUUCUUACUCUAGAUUCUAGUAUCAGAAUCCAAUGAUGAACAAGGCUUUAUAUACUACAGUGCAUUUCAGACUUCUUUGAAGUUUUAUUCAGAAUGUCCUAGGUCAAGGCUCUGGGCAAAAAUGUAGUUUCAGACUGAGCUUUUUUUAUAUAUAAAGGUAUGAAAGGCAUAGUAUUUAGACGAGAAGAAUGGGGAGAAACCUGCAUGUGACAUACAUAACAAAAUGUUCAGAACUAGUAUCGCAACAUAAUAAUAUGUGAGUACAAGUGUGCAACACAACAACGCAAUUGUACAAGUGAUACCAGGACACAAGUUAUCUACAUUCCUUUGAUUACACUACUCUGACUAGAAUUUAGUAACUAACACUAGACUCCUAUCAAGAUAACCUAUUAAGAUUAGAAUGAAUAGGAAACUCAAGCGUACUCUCAGUUCAGAGAAGUGCAAGCAUUCGGUACAGCUAGACUCAACCUAAAACAAUGACUAGCUCCGCACGAAAUGAAAAAUUAUCGAAUUGACAAGCUCCACACGAACUGAAAAACUGUCAAACUGAAGAGCUCUAGAUCAAUAUUUAUGUGGUGAGAAUCUUCUUUAC
rnacentral:lncRNA from 1 species